GUACUUGACCUAAAUAUCCUAAAGUCACCUGAUCCCAUCUGACCUAGAAAGGUAAGCAGGAACAGGUCUGGUUAGUACUUGAAUGGGAGACAAUCAAUGAAUCCUAGGCUAUAUUUC
rnacentral:rRNA from 1 species